GUGUCAGCAGCCGCGGUAAUACGUAGGGUCCGAGCGUUGUCCGGAAUUAUUGGGCGUAAAGGGCUCGUAGGCGGUUUGUCACGUCGGGAGUGAAAUCUUACAGCUUAACUGUGAACUUGCUUUCGAUACGGGCAGACUUGAGGCAUUCAGGGGAGAACGGAAUUCCUGGUGUAGCGGUGAAAUGCGCAGAUAUCAGGAGGAACACCGGUGGCGAAGGCGGUUCUCUGGGAAUGUUCUGACGCUGAGGAGCGAAAGUGUGGGGAGCGAACAGGAUUAGAUACCCUGGUAGUCCACACCGUAAACGUUGGGCGCUAGGUGUGGGGCCUAUUCCAUGGGUUCCGUGCCGCAGCUAACGCAUUAAGCGCCCCGCCUGGGGAGUACGGCCGCAAGGCUAAA
rnacentral:rRNA from 1 species